UUUCCGUAGGUGAACCUGCGGAAGGAUCAUUAUUGUAUAACCGAGGUGCGAGGGCUGUCGCUGACCCGAAUGGUUGUGCACGCGCGAGUUCCCUCGCACACAUCCAUCUCACCCCUAUGUGCACCACCGCGUGGGUCACCCAUUGGCUUGUUCGGAGGGGGGCUUACGUUUUCCCACCAACUUAAUAUGCUGAGUAGAAUGUAUUUUUUGUUUUUGUGAUCACGCAAUCAAUACAACUUGCAACAACGGAUCUCUUGGCUCUCUCAUCUAUGAAAAACC
rnacentral:misc_RNA from 1 species